GUGUGUUUAUAUAAUGCAGUGUCUUUGUGUAGUGUGCAUUAUAUAAACACACUACACAAACACACUGCAUUAUAUACACAGUGU